rnacentral:rRNA from 1 species
AUUGAACGCUGGCGGCAUGCCUUACACAUGCAAGUCGAACGGUAACAGGUCUUCGGAUGCUGACGAGUGGCGAACGGGUGAGUAAUACAUCGGAACGUGCCCGAUCGUGGGGGAUAACGGAGCGAAAGCUUUGCUAAUACCGCAUACGAUCUACGGAUGAAAGCAGGGGACCGCAAGGCCUUGCGCGGACGGAGCGGCCGAUGGCAGAUUAGGUAGUUGGUGGGAUAAAAGCUUACCAAGCCGACGAUCUGUAGCUGGUCUGAGAGGACGACCAGCCACACUGGGACUGAGACACGGCCCAGACUCCUACGGGAGGCAGCAGUGGGGAAUUUUGGACAAUGGGCGAAAGCCUGAUCCAGCCAUGCCGCGUGCAGGAUGAAGGCCUUCGGUUGUAAACUGCUUUGUACGGACGAAAGACUCCUUCUAAUAAAGGGGUCCAUGACGGUACCGUAAGAAUAAGCACCGGCUAACUACGUGCCAGCAGCCGCGGUAAACGU